GUGGCGGCGGUCGGACGGCAGCGGGUCCUGUCAUGGAUGGACGAGCUCUCUGCCAAGCCAUGAACUUGCUGCUGCUAACCCUCACCGGCCUCCUCCCUCCUCUCUCUGCACCCUCUUGAGCUUUCCCUUUUUAUUUUGAUGUACUUUCGUGGUCACCUCCCUUUCAGUUUGUUGUCUGCUAACUGUUUGUUGUUAUGCCCGUGCAAGCUGCAUUUUCACAUAUUUGUUGGUAUACCCACGUAGGUAUGUAUACUCCUGGUCAUGCUGAAGAUCGAGGGUUUGUAUUGCUUCUAGGCCAAGAAACUGAGAGGGGCUUUCUUCUUCGAGUCGCCGGAACCAAACGACAGCGUGCUGCAGACUUUCUGGUCUGCUAUGUGUUCUUCACUAAAUCCUCCAAAUCCUCCAGGUAGCAGCUGCUCUAACCAGCUGGUCUACUGCAGGUUGGAGUAGGUUAUAUCAUGCAGUCAUGGUAGGUGCUCUUUUUUAUUUUGCCCCAGAAAGAAGAGGGCCAGCGACACCUUCAAGGGCAGCAGCCAACAUUGAGAACGACAGGGUGCCAGUGGGGGUUAACCUCGGGAGAAGUUGCUGCGAGGUACAUCACAUGCUCGACAGGGUGUAGGGUGAGUGGACGUCCAAAAACUAAGCGAAAGUUGCUUGCUUAAUGCGUAGUCGCAUUGAGUGUUAGUUAUACAAGAGAAAUCAAAUGAAUAUGUUUAGUUUCUAAACCUUUAUUCAUUUUUUAAUAGAAUUGCUUGCUUAGGGCUCUGAUAUAUUUCUUUACAUGAAUCGGCACUAUGCUCUUAUGCUUUUAGUUAUACAUAUAUUUUUUAGUUGGUCAGGUUUUCAAGUUUCAACCAUUCUUACUUUGAAAUGAUUCUGUAGUUAGUUAUAAAUAUAGAAAAUUUGAUGCCUGGGAUACAUAUUUUUCAUGGUAUAUUAUGCCAGCUAAGGGAUCUCUUAUUUCUUUAGGUCUGCUACAUAAUUAUCUGGAGAUUUACUUUCUUCCGGUGCCUGCUUUUGAUCACAGGAAACUAAAAAAAGACAAAAUAUACUUCACAUGCAGCAUCUUAUCCUAUGUGAAGUUAUCUUGCAGACAUCGUUAAAUAUUUUUCUUCACUUUUCUGUUUAGCUAAAUAACCAAUUAAAUGAUUUAAUAUAUUUUUUCUUUUUUUAAAUUGGGUAAAGAAAGUAUGUUGCACUUUCUUAUAGUCUUUUGGCUGGCACUGCAAUUUUGUUUGUCUUCUAGAGUGACAUAGAACAUGAUAUGCUUCUUUUACUGUACAUGUUAUCUAUAUUUUGUACCUUUAAUACCCUCUCUUUUUCUUGAUACUCAGAUGGUUCAGCUUCAAAAGCACCAAAAAAUUAUGUUAAUACAUGGGUGAGUGGAGAUACUGCAUGUAAUACUCACUUUCCCAUCUUUAUACAAUGUUGUACCUACAGCAACUGUCAUUUUACUCUCCCUCUUAGAAGGACUUCUCUGUAUUUUGUCAAGCCUUCCGGCCUUAUAUGGUGAUAUUUUUUUCCGGAACCACCUCUUAUGUCUUGCCUACGUUUGAAGUUUUGGAGUUCUUAAAUUCUUGAUGAAGAGGAUUUUGGAGGUACGUGCCACCGGUGCUCAGGGCGCUUAAUUAACUGCAGCAGCAGAACAUGGAUUAUUAAUGCUGCAGCAGCAGAACAUGGAUUAUUAAUGAUGAACCGUCUGUCUUUGGAAGCGGCUAUUCAUUGGAGAGGGUAUUGUUCCUUUAUGGUCAUAAGACAGACUUCUCUUUGGAAGCGGAAAUGGAAGCGGCACAUGAAGGUGUGCUCCUGCCCUUGCAAGUGCUCCACCAAGCCGGUUGUGCAGCGAUGGCAAGAGUGAGACUGGUUCGUUCACAGGCCAAGAGGACCCUGUUCGCCGAAUCAUCGCCUGGACAUGGGUUGGGAGCUGCGCUAGAGUUUUUUACGACUUAUUCGUCUUCUAUGUUAGAGAAGGAGGCGGCAUACAGAGGGUAUGGAGGCGGAGGAGGAGCGGACCAUUGCCAUCGUCCUCACAGCAGGUGGAGUGCGGGCUGCAGGGAGGAUCUUGAGAGGCACUCGUUCUGCUACUCUCUACUCUCCGGCGCUGAUAAGGAGGCUCUCGUGCAGCUCCAGGAAGGCUAAUUGAUGUUACUUUUAUUUCUUCAUACAAGCUCCUUCCAUUGGUAAUAUUGUUAAAUGUUACAUAUCACUAAAUAUUGCUUUGUUGAUAUGUGUCUUAUGUCCGGGCCAGAAAUUGUGUAUACAUGCUUAUGCUUACUUGGUGUGGUUUAUUGUUCAGUAUUGAGUCCAGAAAAUCCAUGCUGUGCACCUAUCUCAUGAUGUUGGCAGCCUGUUAGGCAGGUACGAAUGUUGGUUAUGUGGCUCGACUCGCACGCAACCUAUGCACGUACGCAACUAUAGCCUAUGCAGGUGAGUCAUGCAAAGAUAAUUCAAUUUGGUGAUUCUGGCCAUAUGCCUCAUGCAUGGUUACUGAUGCCCUUCCUCUCUUUCUCCUCGAAGCAUAUCAAUUUCUAAUAUUUUGAAUGCUUUGUUUUAAGACCUGAACAUGAGGUUAUUGCACUGCAAUUCAAACGGAUUUUGUUCAGAGCAUCGGCCUGAAAAUUAGGCCUUUAUCUCCCAUCUACUCUUAGAUAGAGAUAGAGAAAGACCAUUCGCAGAGUUGCACUUACCUUUUUAUGAUGCCCAAAUUUAUGCUUAGAAAGGUAACACUUUUUUAUUGGGUGGUAUUAGUAUAUAAUGUUACCGAAUGGUCCUUCUCUAUCUAAGCUUUGAUGUGCGUGUGCUUUUUCAAACUUGGCGAGUACAUUAGAAAAGGAAAUAUCUACUAGGGUUAUUUCUGUUAAAAUGGUUACAGAGAAUAAGAGAAAGUAUAUAUUACAUAUGCCUAUAUAUUUUCUUAUUUCUUUUUAGAAGUUGACUAGAAAGUGGAUAUGUUCACUGCUUAUUUCUCUAGACAUUUGAGUUCACUUUAUCAUUUGGUUGGUCUACGUGGUACUCAGAACUUAAGCCUAUCUACCAUGAAUCUGUUUCUUGAUGUUUACUCUGCUGGACUGAGAAAUGAACUUUCAGUGAGUUGUUUGUUUUUUACCAGCUGUUAUCAUCUCCUGCAGCCCUUAGUGUCAUGGUUGUGUUGUUCUCAACCUGCCUGUUGUCCCAUGUAGUCCUUCUUUCUUCAGUAUUUUGCAGCAUCCCUACAUCAGUGUGUAUGGAUGUAUCACCGCAUGGCCAAAACUGUUGACCGGGAGUACUAUAGAUGGUGUACUCAAUUCAGAAAUGAGCCUAUCGUGUUGGCAUGCUCUGCUAUUGUAGCGUACCUGCGAAACUUUGGAAGACCUGGUAAUUAAGUAAUCCAGGAUGUUAAAACUUUCCCUAAUGAAUAUUCUCAUGCUCUGCUGAGAGAGAAAAAUAUGAGCUCCUUAUUACAGAAGUGUUGUCUCUACUAAUGCUACAUUAUAUCAUUGACAUAACUUUAUCAAUCAUGGUUAUCACCUCUGAGAGCUAUAUGUGGCUAAUUAACAUUUUUCCAACAAUAAACAAUGAUCAACUAUACAUUCGGUUGUAUUUUUUGUGUGUGUUUCUGUACUUAAAUUGUAGUGGGAAUAUUGCAAGAACUUGCAGAUACACAUCUUUACACCGUCAAAUCGGUGCACAGCAUUUCACCUAUUGGUGAGUAAAUUAAGUUUGUGUAUGACCAAUUGACCAUUCUAUGUGAUGUUUGUAGAUACAUGGACCACUUAUCAGAAAACUUAGAGCAUGUGCAUGACCAAUUGACCAUUCUAUGUGAUGUUAUUUCUUCCUGUUUUCAGAUGCACAUCUCUUCGAUAUUAAUGUAGAACGGUCAUUUUGCUUUAACCGUCACGUAAUAACAUCCUCUUAGCUGCUUGUAAUGGGACCAUUGGUGACGUUUUGAAAUCCUUCUCGUGUGUUUCUAGGAAUUAAAAUGCUCAUUACAAAAAGGCUUUUUGAAUAAAUUGAGCAAUUUUUUUUGUAAGAAGUUCCAACAGAUUUCGCCAGUUGGUUCCAGUAUAGUAAAAAAUGCAAAUUAUCCAGUCUAAGUAAAUUUUAAUGUUUACUGUUCUCUUCUGUAUCUGCAUGCUAUGAUAGUGGUAACUAUAAGUUCCUUUUCACUUGGACAAACUAGGCAAGGAUCUAUGAACAUUACCAUUUAUGAAUAUGAAAGGAACUUGGAAUCAGCUUCUAACCAAAGAAAUGAUCUGACUGAGAUACACAGGGCUGAUAUUGUUUCGACAAUUUAUGAUGUCCUCAAGGAAGAUCUGUCACGUGAUUCUGAUAGACAUGAUGGAUAUCGCCGUUUUUGGAGAUUUCAGAAGAUGUAACAUUUAAUUUUCUCACAAAGUUUGGCCAUACAUUAUAUCAACUGAAUAUGUUACUAUAAAAGCUGACUAUAUAUGGCAUUCGUUCAGUAAAUAUGUGUCCUUAAUUGAAGGAGUGUUUUUUAUUUUAUUGUAGACGUUCUGUCGCCCCCCUCCCCCACAGAUGGCGGGCAAGGUUGUUACUCUAUUUGAGCCGAAGGAUGUUGACACAUUCAUAAUUGCUUUUUAUGUCCUAUGGUUGCUCGAAAGAGGAGGGAUGCUCAUACUUUUAUCUUUAAGAGUGCUCUUUAUUCUGUUAUGGUGAGUUUUGAUUACGGGGUUUAGAAUUGGCUAUCCCAAAUAGCCAAUUGGUGUGACCUCUUAUAGCAAAUGGACCAUCACCACCAAAUGGUUUGUUUGCAGGAGUAAAAUAUUUGUUGUAGUUUUAAUCGAUCUACAGUUUCCAUUCUUAUUUUCUUCAAAAAAAAAUCCCGUAUUUAAAGUCGUUACAUGUUGGCCUCUGCUUCAUCUUGUGCAGCUGAAAAGGACACACGUAAGAUUCUAUUUUUGUUUGAUUCUAAGUCUCUAACUAUGUUGUAUAUUGAAAAGAAUUGAGGUUAGGAGUCCUGCCAUUGGAGAAGCUAUUGCAUUGGGAGCAGCAGUAGAUUAUCUGUCACAAUUCGGCAUGCUGAGGAUUCAUGAGUAUGAGAAAGAGUUGGGGAUGUAUCUUUACGAGACAUAUCCAUGCGAGACUAGAUAUGAAUUCAACGAAGCUAAUCAGUUCCUUGGGUACUAUGGGUUAGAUGAAGAUGAAUUGAUCCGUUGAGACUGAGGUCUACGACAAUAACUCUGACGGACUGCCUAUGAAUUAUCAAGAAAGUUUUCCUUCUAUGCUAGCUACUCCGUACUUAUGAUGUUUCGUUAUGCGUAGUGAUCUCUGUGAUAAUCAUGUCAUUCAAGUUUGAUGUUUCGUCUUACACUAUAUAUAUGUAAAUAAUGGAGCAGCUAGCUCUGCUAUGAACUCACAUGGCACUACUCCUAUCUUAGAACCAUGUAUUUGUACCUAUAUGUAAUGCAUUUUUCCUUCUUUCGGCACAAA